GGAUAACCGCUGAAAGCAUCUAAGCGGGAAGCCUCUUCCAAGAUAAGAUCUCCCUGGGAACUUGAUUCCCCUAAAGAGCCGUUCAAGACCAGGACGUUGAUAGGUCGGGUGUGUAAGCGCUGCGAGGCGUUGAGCUAACCGAUACUAAUUGCUCGUGAGGCUUGACU
rnacentral:rRNA from 13 species